GCCACCGCUCAAAAAAAGAGAAGAAUUACAGCCACCACACGACCCGUUCUCCCCCAAAUCGAACCCUCUCUAGACCUCCUCCUUGACCGCCGCCGCCGCCCCCUCUGCCGUUGACCACGCCCUCCACCACCACCCCUUUGGUUGACCAGUGCAACCCCAUCGGGAUCUAUGGCAGCGGUGCUUGGAUCUCGGCGUCGCCUCCCUUGAUACGCCUCUGAUGUGCGAGGUCAUUGUCGCCUCCCUCCCUUCGACACCACCACCAGAACUGGUCGACGAUGUCGGUCGCCUCCAUCUCUUCUUUACAGUCCAUCACGCCGACGAGCAUAGGCCCCCACCAUGGCUUCCUCCACGCCAACGGCGAGCGUGGUGUCCCAUCUCUAUUGUGCUGGUACAAUACUUUCCUCAGAUCCGUCUUGGUGGAAACCCGAUGCAGGUGCUAUUAGUGAACGGAUUGGAGACUGGAUCUAGCAGUGGUUGGUUUGUUCGAGGAAUUCUUGGUGCUCAUGAUUAGUAAAGGGUUUCAGCCAGGGCAAGUAAUUAUCAGCUGAGAAAAGGCUACAAGAUGCUAGGAGAAGUUUGAAUGGAGGCAGAGAGUACACUAGGAAAUAGAAUGGAAAAAGGAAGAGAAGGCAAUGCUGAAGCACAAGAGCGAGAGGCUAGCGGAAGUUAAAGCAAUAUACUAUAAGCAUUUUGAAUGAUUAGGGCCUCGUGUUGUUGGGAACAUUACAACCAUGGGGAAAGCUAAUUUUGGUUGCUAGUUUAGCAUAGAAGCCACUGUAUGCUCAUUUUGCUCGUGUGUCGCAUCCAAAAACAUAUGUAAUUUUCCUUCUGUUGCACAACACCCUUAUAUAUGGGUGUUUCUAGAAACAUAUGUAUUUGGUCGUUAAUUUUAUUGAAUGAAGUUAAGUUUUACGAUGAGGUCCAUAUGUGAAUUA